GACGUAGGGUGCAAGCGUUGUCCGGAUUUAUUGGGCGUAAAGAGCUCGUAGGCGGUUUGUCGCGUCUGCUGUGAAAACUCGGGGCUUAACCCCGGGCCUGCAGUGGGUACGGGCAGACUAGAGUGCGGUAGGGGAGAUUGGAAUUCCUGGUGUAGCGGUGGAAUGCGCAGAUAUCAGGAGGAACACCGAUGGCGAAGGCAGAUCUCUGGGCCGUAACUGACGCUGAGGAGCGAAAGCAUGGGGAGCGAACAGG
rnacentral:rRNA from 1 species